UAGAGACUGGCGGCGGGCGAGACCCUCGCCAACCCGGUCAGAUCCGGAAGGAAGCAGCCGCAACGAGUUUUUCUUGGGUCGUCGUUCAGUCUCUACUU
rnacentral:SRP_RNA from 1 species